GCAUGGACACGCCUAUGAGCCUGAAUCUGUUCCAUGAAGCAUCUGGCUUCUUCAGGACACGCGACGAUACUCGAAUCGUGCCGCUCAGUGAUAAGAGUAAUCAGCUUAUCACGAAGCACACGCCGACGCAUUAUUUAUUGGGACCGCACGUAGUAAGUUUUACGGGAUGCGUAGCGGCCGGACUGCGUCAGUCUGGACUUCAGAAAGAGAGAGAAAAGAGAAAAAGGAUCAGGACAGGGAACUUCCAGAGGCUGCAAUCCUUUGAUCUUAUCGACACGAUGCUACGCCCCUCCACUACGUAAACAUUUCAAACUCAGCUAAUCCGCCCUGAGCCAAGACCCAAGGAUCUCUACAGUCUUGUGCCCAAAAUAGUUACCGAGUACGCAAGGAAAUGGCUUUCUUCAGUGAAAAUCAUAAGGAACCAACUAAAGCACGGUUAUCACCUUCGAACAGCACUGACGUCGAAUGACUACGUUACUCAGUGACUAAAAAGAAUACUGAAAAAAAUCGCGCUACACUUUUAGUCAAGAAAAAGACUAUUUACCUACGUAUAACUAGGUACGUACUUUAUACCUGUACCUAUGUUUAAAUCCCUUAAUCCAAAAAGGAUAGUUAAUGACAAACGCAAUUAAGAUGCCACUUCACAGAGUUAACGGACAUACCCUAGUAUGAAAUGUCAUUAUCCCAUGGAUGAUCAAGUAUACAGUUUUCAUGUCUAUGGAGGUCGCGAUAUGGCACGAAGUUGAGUAAUAGCUCCUUGGUACGGGGACUGAAUUUGAGGUUAAGUUUGCAGAGGCAAGACGACAGGCGCCUCCAAGUGCCGGCUGGAUAGACUCUAUGCCAGGAUACUCAUGCACCGGCGAGUAGUGGCCACUUCUACCAGGAGUAGACAAGUCCGUGGGACAAGGCUUUGCAAGGAAGGACGAUUACUGCACUGGCGCCUGGCCAACAGCACUGGCGCCUGUCUGCCCUCCUGUGACUGUGUCUUCUCUUUCCUUCUCGUCACUUCUGUUCUUCUCUAUAGAAUCCAAUACAGCACUCCAUGUAUUUUACAAUAAAUUUCUAUGAAGACUGUAAAGUGUGAUAGGACAUCUGUACAAGGGUAUACCACCAAGAUUUAAUCGGUAGACAUUUUCCGUUGGGUUGCUACCUUUAAAAGGUCAAUAAAUACACAUUUCUCGAAAGACACACGUACAAUCCGACAGAUAAGAAUCGCUUGACACCACGAUUGCUAUCCGAUGAAAGGAUUGAACUGAUCAGUAAUUAUCCGGUAGUUCCCAAGGUAAGAACUGUUAAUAACAGCAGUAACGUAAUGGUCGAAGUUGUCCUAACCUAUAACAGCUUUUAGAACGUCAUUUUCUUAAUCCCCAGCAAAGGAAAUUUAUCAAAUAGUUCACUCGUGCAUUCAUUGUCCAUUCAAAAGGUACCGCAUAGCCACUAAAUAGAUAGUAGCUAAUGAGAAAAAUAUAACUAUUUUGAAUACAGAUGUCUGUCAGACAUAUUUCCUCAAACGUAAUACCUGCAAGCUUUACGUCCGCUGUCAUUUUCACCAGUGAAGUAAGAAAAACAAGACAAUGAGUCAGUACGGGGUUAUAGGUUAUGUACGACAUAACAGCAGGAAGCGGACGCCCUGAUGAGCGGUCACUGUGUGCAAAAUUGUGCGAGUAUGGCAGAAAGAAGAGAGAAAAAAAGUCAAUCGUGCCAUGGAAUACUGAUCAGUUACAACUCGACAACAUGCUUCAGGCAUAUGUCGGACACGUGGUGAGUGAAAUUACUAGGCAAACCUGGCCAAGCAGGAAGGUCGACAACAGCGUUGACGCCAUUGUUGAAUCUCGAUCGCCCACGAAAAAACAUUCGUAUAGGUCUUAAAUCUUUGUAAGGAUGGACAUCCUGCAAAUUAUCUGGCGAGCAGCCUGUGUCGUUAAAACUUGAAUGGCGUUUAAGUCAAAUCGCGAGGACGUGAUUUCGUUUAUAUUUAAAAAUAACAGGCACACAGGUAAUCUGCGGAACGAUCUUGUAGGAAGCAUCCGUUUCCGUUUUUCUAACGAAUCUACACGAACUUAUCACUUGCAUAAAUUCUGUGUACACUAUCUGUGUACAUUUCCGUACAUUAGGAAGUUCUUGCUUCCGUGGUGGCAUCCACUUACGACCGGAAGUGCAGAAUCAAAUUGUAUGUCCUUCCCGGUCUUUUUCUCUUCGUGACGCAUAAGUGAGACACGAAGAAGGAAAGAGCGUAAAGGUCCCGGAAUGCGUAGCCAGACAGGUCCGGUCGCUUGUCUACACCCUUGUAAAUGGCGUGCAAAGGUCCACGUCCCCAAGGAGCCGCGAUGGUGCAGAUAAGUUUUUACUAUUGUCCCAUCUGAGUUUCUUUCUAUCUUUCCGCCCCGUGAAACUAAUUGCGCCUUUGUCACGUAUAUAUACCGUUUGGCGGGAAUUUAAAGAAAAAUUUGAAUCUCAUAAUAUGUAUCGUGUAUAAUAUACUGUAUAGUACAGUUUUUAUAUUAAAAUGUGUCUUGGAAGAAUUUUCUACGUCAAUUUAUCAAUCGCAAGAAGAAAUGUCGCGGCUAAUAAUUUUGGAAUGUGGCUUAGCUAUGUGUCCUACGGAUUCUCUCUCUCUCUCUCUCUCUCUCUCUCUCAUUCUCGUCGUUUCUGACUCUACCGUUCACUCUCCAUGCGUUCCUCUACCCACUGUCUACCACCAUGAUGUUGGCGGUGGCGGUGGCGGCCCUAAGACAAAGAAAAGUAGUUUGAGGCGCCGGCGACUGUCUGUCCGCUCGUCUGUCGGGCCAAACUAACAGCCAACAGGCAACCGACCCCCUGCGCGUGGGAUCCGAAUCUCAAUAGCCGAUGCCUGUCCGUUUAAUUUCCAUUGGUGCUUUGAUAUACCUGAUUGGGAAUACCAGGUGUAGACAUAUUAAAUGUAGAAAUUGAUAGAUCGAUACGGUGCUAAUUGAAAAUUUGGAAGUAUUUAGCGAGAUGUGUAUAUACUACAGUAUUUAAAAUUUUUGUUAUCGAAUGUA